AGAGAGAGACAUGCGCGCAUAUCAAUAAGCGGAGGAAAAGAAACUAACAAGGAUUCCCUUAGUAACGGCGAGUGAAGCGGGAAGAGCUCAAAUUUGAAAUCUUCAAGGUUUUACCUUGACGAAUUGUAGUUUAAAGAAGUGUUUUCUGCUGAAGUUUUGGUAAAAGUUCUUUGGAAUAGGACAUCAUAGAGGGUGAGAAUCCCGUAUUUGACCAUUAUUUUCAGCUUUGUGAUACACUUUCAAAGAGUCGGAUUGUUUGGGAAUGCAGUCCAAAAUGGGUGGUAAAUUUCAUCUAAAGCUAAAUAUUGGCGAGAGACCGAUAGCGAACAAGUACCGUGAGGGAAAGAUGAAAAGAACUUUGAAAAGAGAGUCAAACAGUACGUGAAAUUGUCAAAAGGGAAGCGUUUGACACCAGUGUUGUUUUCUCGAAAAUCAAUUAAAAAUGGCUCGAUUUUGUAUUGUUGAGACCUUAAAAGCUCACUGUACAUUUUUCGUGUCUUUUUUAAUGCACUUUUCGUUUAACAAGUCAACAUCAGUUUCUUUUGUUGUAAAAGGGUCAUUGGAAGGUGGCUUUCUUUUCGGAGAAAGUGUUUAUAGCCUUUGGCCUCUGCAAUCGGAGAGACUGAGGUCUGCAGCGUAGACUCUUCGGGGUUAGAUACAUUUGUGCUAAGUUAUAGCCUUUUCAUAGACAACUUGUUGACUAUAAUCAGUCAUGUAGCUUACUCGCUUAUGCUACUUUACCUACGCUUAGGAUGUUGAGUCGUAGAGCACGCAG
rnacentral:rRNA from 1 species